rnacentral:lncRNA from 1 species
AUUAGAAGCUACUGUUUGACGAGGGUAAAACCUGAAUGAUUAUGAGAUAGAAAGUGGGGGAUAGGGCCAUGGGGAGUAAUCUGUUUGUGUAGCUGAGAUGUAUGAAAGUCUUAUUUCCAUUUCUUAAGAAGGAUUAUUUUAGCAUGAUCUUUGUGAUGUGUUCCCUUUUUUUUUUUGUAUCAAUCUUAGUUUGGCAUAAUUGGCAAUUUGUCAUAAUGUAAUGGAAAAUAUGGAAUAGUAAGAAGGCAAUUUCCACACUAUAGAUCUACUGAACUAUUCUUUGUCAAAUUUUAUCUUAUUAGGUGUUUGAUUCUCAACUUACCAUGAGAGGAAAGAAAGAGCACGGUUAACUGAUGAACAAGACACAGAGAUUUCUACGAAUGUGACUGUACGCAAAGAAAGAGCACGUAAUUGAAGGGAAUGAGAUUGGAAUUGGGUCGACUAGAAUUGUACUUUCCUUUAAAUGAAAUUGUAAUUUCAGUUAUGUGAAUAUAUGUUUUCUUGAAAUGAAUGUUAUCUUUGAUGCUGGUUGACUUGGCAGUUCAAAUUUAUGUUUCAUUCUUAGAGUUGUAAGUUUUGAGUUACCUUCGACUGGAAGUCCUAGGGAGAAAUCUGGACUGGAUCUUUUGGACAAAAAUGAACUUUUGUAAUGAAAUUUGUCAUAUUAAUGUAUUUGUUUGAAAUUUGUCACAUUAUUCUAUUUCGUUUCAC